rnacentral:rRNA from 1 species
GUGGAUUAGAUACCCGGGUAGUCCACGCCGUAAACGGUGGGUGCUAGUUGUGGGCCACAUUCCACGUGGUCCGUGACGAAGUUAACACAUUAAGCACCCCGCCUGGGGAGUACGGUCGCAAGACUAAAACUCAAAGGAAUUGACGGGGGCCCGCACAAGCGGCGGAGCAUGCGGAUUAAUUCGAUGCAACGCGAAGAACCUUACCAAGGCUUGACAUAUAGAGGAAACGUGCAGAAAUGUACGCCCCGCAAGGUCUCUAUACAGGUGGUGCACGGUUGUCGACAGCU